rnacentral:rRNA from 1 species
GAUGAACGCUGGCGGCGUGCCUAAUACAUGCAAGUAGAACGCUGAAGCUUGGUGCUUGCACCGAGCGGAUGAGUUGCGAACGGGUGAGUAACGCGUAGGUAACCUGCCUCUUAGCGGGGGAUAACUAUUGGAAACGAUAGCUAAUACCGCAUAAAAGUCGACAUCGCAUGAUGUUGACUUGAAAGGUGCAAUUGCAUCACUAAGAGAUGGACCUGCGUUGUAUUAGCUAGUUGGCGAGGUAACGGCUCACCAAGGCGACGAUACAUAGCCGACCUGAGAGGGUGAUCGGCCACACUGGGACUGAGACACGGCCCAGACUCCUACGGGAGGCAGCAGUAGGGAAUCUUCGGCAAUGGGGGCAACCCUGACCGAGCAACGCCGCGUGAGUGAAGAAGGUUUUCGGAUCGUAAAGCUCUGUUGUAAGAGAAGAACGAGUGUGAGAGUGGAAAGUUCACACUGUGACGGUAACUUACCAGAAAGGGACGGCUAACUACGUGCCAGCAGCCGCGGUAAUACGUAGGUCCCGAGCGUUAUCCGGAUUUAUUGGGCGUAAAGCGAGCGCAGGCGGUUAGAUAAGUCUGAAGUUAAAGGCUGUGGCUUAACCAUAGUACGCUUUGGAAACUGUUUAACUUGAGUGCAGAGGGGGAGAGUGGAAUUCCAUGUGUAGCGGUGAAAUGCGUAGAUAUAUGGAGGAACACCGGUGGCGAAAGCGGCUCUCUGGUCUGUAACUGACGCUGAGGCUCGAAAGCGUGGGGAGCAAACAGG